AGACGUGGGUGCAGGUGUCGGAGAAGGUGUCGGGACUGGCGUCGGAGCAGGUGUAGGUGCCGAAGUCGGAGUAGGUGUCGGUGCAGGAGUCGGAGCCGGCGUGCGUGCGGGCGUUGGAGUGGGUGCUGGGACUGGCGUGGGUGCGAGCAUUGGCACAGGUGUCGGUGCAGGAGUUGGAGAUGGCGCCUGUGGAGCCCUAGGUGCUGGGGUAGGUGCGGAUCUAGGAGCAGGUGUCGGUGCCGGUGUCGGGGCCGUCCUUGGAGCUGGCGUAGGAGAUGGCGCCUGUGGAGCCCUAGGUGCUGGGGUAGGUGCGGAUCUAGGAGCAGCUAUCGGUGCCGGUGUCGGUGCCGUCCUUGGAGCUGGCGUGGGAGCAGGCGUAGGAGAUGGCGCCUGUGGAGCCCUAGGUGCUGGGGUAGGUGCCGAUCUAGGAGCAGGUGUCGGUGUCAUCCUUGGAGCUGGCGUCGGAGCAGGCGUAGGAGAUGGCGCCGGUGGAGCCCUAGGUGCUGGGGUAGGUGCGGAUCUAGGAGCAGGUGUCGGUGCCGGUGUCGGUGCCAUCCUAGGAGAAGGAGUGGGAGCAGGCAUAGGAGAUGGCGCCUGUGGAGCCGUUGGUGCUAGUGGUAGGUGCGGAUCUAGGAGCAGGUGCCGGUUCCGGUGUCGGUGCUGUCCUUGGAGCAGGCGUGGGAGCAGGCGUAGGAGAAGGCGCCUGUGGAGCCCUAGGUGCUGGGGUAGGUGCAGAUCUAGGAGCAGGUGUUGGAGCCGUCCAUUGGAGCUGGCGUGGGAGCUGGCGUAGGAGAUGGCGCCUGUGGAGCCCUAGGUGCUGGGGUAGGUGCGGAUGUAGGAGCCGGUGUCGGUGCCGUCAUUGGAGAAGCCGUGGGAGCAGGCGUAGGAGAUGGCGCCUGUGGAGCCAUAGGUGCUGGGGUAGGUGCGGAUUUAGGAGCAGGUGCCGGUGCCGGUGUCGGUGCCGUCCUUGGAGGUGGCGUGGGAGCAGGCGUAGGAGAUGGCGCCUGUGGAGCCCUCUGUGCCGGGGUAGGUGCGGAUCUAGGAGCAGGUGUCGGUGCCGUCCUUGGAGCUGGUGUGGGAGCAGGCGUAGGAGAUGGCGCCUGUGGAGCCCUAGGUGCCGGCGUAGGUGCGGAUCUAGGAGCAGGUGUCGGUGCCGAUAUCGGUGCCGUCCUUGGAGCUGGCGUAGGAGAUGGCGCCUGUGGAGCCCUAGGUGCUGGGGUAGGUGCGGAUCUAGGAGCAAGUGUCGGUGCCGUCCUUGGAGCUGGCAUGGGAGCAGGCGUAGGAGAUGGCGCCUGUGGAGCCCUAGGUGCUGGGGUAGGUGCGGAUCUAGGAGCAGGUGUUGGUGCCGUCCUUGGAGCUGGCGUGGGAGCUGGCGUGGGAGCAGGCGUAGGAGAUGGCGCCUGUGGAGCCCUAGGAGCUGGGGUAGGUGAGGAUCUAGGAGCAGGUGUUGGUGUCGUUGUCGGUGCCGUCCUUGGAGGUGGCAUUGGCGCAGGCGUCGGAGAUGGCGCCUGUGGAGCCCUAGGUGCUGGGGUAGGUGCGGAUCUAGGAGCAGGUGUUGGUGCCGUCCUUGGAGCUGGCGUGGGCGCAGGUGUAGGAGAUAGCGCCUGUGGAGCCCUAGGGGCUGGGGUAGGUGCCGAUCUAGGAGCAGGAGUGGGUGCAGAUCUCGGAGCUGGUGAUGGUGCAAUCCUAGGAGCUGGCGUGGGAGCAGACCUUGGGGGUGAUCGCUUGGCCUGCGAAGAUGGCACAAGCACGAGUGCCACGACCAGGAGCAGGAGCCCAGGGUAAGUUAUAGACCUGGACGCCAUUGCUAGCCGCGGAUGC
rnacentral:lncRNA from 1 species